rnacentral:rRNA from 2 species
GACGGAGGGGGCUAGCGUUGUUCGGAAUGACUGGGCGUAAAGGGCGCGUAGGCGGUUUUUUAAGUGAGGCGUGAAAGCCCUGGGCUUAACCCAGGAGGUGCGUUUCAGACUGGAAGACUUGAGUGCGAGAGAGGAAAGUGGAAUUUCUAGUGUAGAGGUGAAAUUCGUAGAUAUUAGAAAGAACACCCGUGGCGAAGGCGGCUUUCUGGCUCGCAACUGACGCUGAGGCGCGAAAGCGUGGGGAGCAAAC